GAUGAACGCUGGCGGCGUGCCUAAUACAUGCAAGUCGAGCGAACAGACGAGGCGCUUGCUCCUCUGACGUUAGCGGCGGACGGGUGAGUAACACGUGGAUAACCUACCUAUAAGACUGGGAUAACUUCGGGAAACCGGAGCUAAUACCGGAUAAUAUAUUGAACCGCAUGGUUCAAUAGUGAAAGACGGUUUUGCUGUCACUUAUAGAUGGAUCCGCGCCGCAUUAGCUAGUUGGUAAGGUAACGGCUUACCAAGGCAACGAUGCGUAGCCGACCUGAGAGGGUGAUAGGCCACACUGGAACUGAGACACGGUCCAGACUCCUACGGGAGGCACCAGUAGGGAAUCUUCCGCAAUGGGCGAAAGCCUGACGGAGCAACGCCGCGUGAGUGAUGAAGGUCUUCGGAUCGUAAAACUCUGUUAUUAGGGAAGAACAAAUGUGUAAGUAACUAUGCACGUCUUGACGGUACCUAAUCAGAAAGCCACGGCUAACUACGUG
rnacentral:rRNA from 1 species